CCCGCAACGAGCGCAACCCUACUUGUUAGUUGCCAUCAUUCAGUUGGGCACUCUAGCGAGACUGCCGGUAAUAAACCGGAGGAAGGUGGGAGUGACGUCAAAUCAUCAUGCCCCUUACUGACCUGGGCUACACACGUGCUACAAUGGUUGGUACAACGAGUUGCGAGUCGGUGACGGCGAGCUGAUCUCUUAAAGCCAAUCUCAGUUCGGAUUGUAGGCUGCAACUCGCCUACAUGAAGUCGGAAUCGCUAGUAAUCGCGGAUCAGCACGCCGCGGUGAAUACGUUCCCGGGCCUU
rnacentral:rRNA from 1 species